rnacentral:rRNA from 1 species
UACGAAGGGUGCAAGCGUUACUCGGAAUUACUGGGCGUACAGCGUGCGUAGGUGGUUCGUUAAGUCUGAUGUGAAAUUCCCGGGCUUAACCUGGGAACUGCAUUUGUGACUGCAAGACUAGAGUGCGGCAGAGGGGGGUAGAAGUCCACGUGUAGCAGUGAAAUGCGUAGAUAUGUGGAGGAAUACCGAUGGCGAAGGCAGCCCCCUGGGUCGACACUGACGCUCAUGCACGAAAGCGUGGGGAGCAAACAGG